UCAAAACUAAGCCUAAGCUUUCCUAGAAUAUCCUUGUGAGGGAUUCUCUUCAGCCGAUCAAUUAUGUGUCUCCAGUGCUUUUUGUCUCGUCCGUAAAAUGAAGAACCCAAAACUUUAAGAGCUAAAGGGAGUCCACCAGCAUGCUCCACCACUUGUCUUGAAAGUUCCAUAAAAUCUUCUUUUGGUGAUUUUUCUCUAAAAGCAUGCCUACUGAACAAUUCAAGUGCUUCAUCCUCAGAUAAUAGUUGGACUUCAUACACGUUAUCCCCAACGUGACUUAUUAACAAGUGCUUGUCUCUUGCUGUUAAAAUAAUUCUGCUACCCCUACCAAACCAUUCUGGCUCUCCAACCAAAAAUUCCAACUGUUCUUGAUGGUUUACAUCAUCGAUGGUGAACAGAACUUUCUUCCAGCGAAGCAUAUUCUUUAAAAUAUUCAUCCCUUCAUGCUCACUAGUUAGAGUCAAUUUUUCACCCAAGAGCUUGCAAAUGACGACUUGUUGUAGCCAUGUUAGUCCCUUUUUCUGAUGAAGUUUUCCAACAUCACCAAGAAAACAAUCAGCUUCAAAUUGAUGGCGGUAUCUUUGAUGUAGAACAUUUGCAAUUUCUGUUUUGCCGAUGCCGCCCAUACCCCAAAUACCAAUAGAGCGAACAUCAUUUGAUUCCAUAUCUAAUAAUGAGGUUACUUUAUCAACCUGAGAUUUCAUACCCACUAAGUUUUCCGGGAAAGGUGAAAUAAUUUGAAGUGACUUAGGAAAUAUGUCAUCAACUAGUUUCUUGACGCACUCAGCCUCAUCCCUACAUUACAGUGGAAAAUAAACUCAAAGUAAAUAAAUAGAAAAGCAAAGACUUGUCAUAGACUAAUAUCUAAAACAAACACAUAAUAAUGUCAAUUAUGAAUUAUUACAUUUUUAAAUCUAAUUACAUCAUCAAACAAUCAUAUACGUCUCUGUUUUCCUUUUUCGGUAAAAGUAUAGCUGAUGAUUGUGUGGAAUUGUAGCUAAAAGUUUGGUCCUUUUCGCUCUUGAUAAAGAGAAACCGGAAAAAAAGAAGAAAGCUUACUUGAAAUUAAGUAAAUGAUAGCCUGAUAUUUUCCCUGCCUCCACAAAUGCACCCCUCCAUCUCUGAACCUUCUCCAUAUCAUCUUUGCAUUUUUCCUCAUGUUGUAAAAAUGAAUCAGCAAAAGGGGGAUGUUGAUGGCACACAUCUGAUUGACUCACAUCAUAGAAGACUGGAAUCACAAUCUGCUCCAAUUCCUUUUUACACUUUAUGAUGUGUGCAAGCUCCUUUAAGCACCAUCUUGACGAUGCAUAGCUUUUGGAAAAUAUCACUAUAGCAAAUUUAGACUCUUGUAUGGCUUUCAAAAGUUCAUCAGAAAUUGAUUUUCCCGUUUCUAGUCGCUCAUCAUCUUUAAAAGUGCGGAUUCCUCUUAGUUCCAAAGAAUUAUAGAGAUGACUCACAAAGUUUCUACGUGUAUCUUCACCUCUAAAACUCAAAAAGACAUCGUACUUGCAAAUUUUGGAAGAUGAAGCAUGAGACAUUGUUGAAGAAUAUUGCUAAAGACUAACAGGCAAGUUCUCAGCACAACUGGCAAAUUUAUUUCUCAGCCAUAAUUUGGUGUAUGGGGAUACUUCCAUUCAUCUUCCUAUCUGUUACUAUAUAGAAUUAAAACAACCUGGUCAACAAGAAAGAAAAGACAAAGCUUAAUAUUAAAGAAUAAGGUUUCACCUACUUCACUAUUCCUAGGGAACUUCUUGUCAUCUUCCUAAUCCAUGAUUGUGAGAAAUUAAAGAGUAUAAAAAGACGCAACUUGGGCCGCCUUAGACCAAAAAAGGGAAGAAAAAACUUGUUAUCAUCUUCCUAAUUCAUUUGUACUACUUUUAAAAUAUUUUAUUGUAAAGACUUUACCUUUUUUUCAUUAUUCCAGACCUAUAUAGGAAACUACUUAUCAUCUUCCUAAUUCAUGACAUAAAAAUGUACACUUUUACAGUAUUGCACUGAUAAAUUAAACAAAUGAGCACCAAAUUGAUACCUUUCAGUAAAUUGAUAUAAAUUCGUUGCCCUACCUGCGAAAUUGAACAAAAUUUUCGUAGCAAUUUAGAAAAAAACACACAAAAAGCAGAAAAGAAAGACAAACCUCAUCAAAGAUAUUAAGCAGAAAUGAAGAGAACCACAAUCUAACAGCUGAUUGUUAAGUGCUAAAGGCAAAAUACUUUUUAAGCCCAAAAAAGAGAAAAUGGGUAUGUACAAGCAACAAAUGAAAGGAUCCUUGAAGCUCAAAUAUAGAGGGAUGUUGUUAUACUUCAAAGAAUAUUUUCUUUUAGGGUCAGAUUUGCAGACCAAUGUAACUUCUAAUUUUGUGUGCAGUAUAACAGGACCGUAACAUAUCCAAAAACCCAUGAAUUUAUAGGUAUACCAAGAUGGGUUCAGAUCAAUUGACAUCUCUUUUUGAUUUAUAAACCGAUUAUAAUCUAACAGCUCUGGAAUUCUGACUCCGGAAAAAGAAAUGAGAAAACAACCCCUUAGGUAGAAGUCACACUGCAUGUAAUAUAAAUUAUUAUUACUAAUAGAAGUCAAUUUGAUGAGAAUAUUCAACAUUCAUAUAUGAGAUAAAAACCUGGAUGCAUGUCCUGCGAAAAUGCUGUAGGAACACAUUAGCUUGUUCACUUGAGACAGUUUCACAUUCGGAUAUUGCAAGCCUACACAGCUUAGGGUAAUGAAUUACGAGAUCUCUGAUGCUCAUUAAGGCUAAAUGAUAAUCUGCAAAUAGCUCCCUUAGCUUUCCUGGCAGUCCAUUAAAUUCUGACAGAAUUCAAGUGACGCCACUUGAUGCAAAUCACCAAUGAUUUCUGGAAGCUUUUCUAGUCUUUUGCACCCUCUGGGCUCUGAGUAAAAGACGUUGCAGAUUCAUCAAAUUACAGAGGCUGUCUGGUAGACUUACAAGAUCUUCACAACCUGUCAGAUUUAGCUCAGUGAGGCCGCUCAUAUUUCUAGUGAACGAAGGCAUUUCUCUUAUCCCAGUAGAAUUCAGAGUCAGUUGUAUCAAGCAAUGCAUAUCUCCGUUGAUUUCUGGAAAUGCAUUAUAGAGAUGACUCACAAAGGUUCUACGUGUAUCUUUGUGACAUAACUUGACCCUUAGACCAAAAAAGGAAAAGAAAAAACUAGAAGUCAUUAUAUUUUUGCUGAUUUUAUUGUAAAGACUAGACUUUACCUUUUUUCAUUAUUCCAAGCCUCUGUAGAAAACUUGUUAUCAUCUUUCUAAUUCAUGACAUAUCAUUGUACCCUUUUGCAGUAUUGCAGUGACAAAUUAAACAAAUGAGUAGCAAAUUGGGGACAAAUAUAAGUUUUCCCCAUUUUAACUUAAUCAUACCUUCCUGUAAAUGAUAUAAAUUUGUUGCCCUACCUGAGGAAUUGUCCAGAAAUUGAAGAAAAAUUUCAUAAUAAUUUAGAAGAAAAAGCAGAAAAGAAUGACUGACCUGAGAGAACCACACCAAAAGCUAACUAUUGAGGUAUAUAAGAGCCUGUUUGGAUUCAGAAUAGUUUUAAAGUGUUUAUGUAAAUUUAAAAAGAAAUAGGCUUCAAUCAGCUUAUUGAGCUACAGAAGUUUUCUCAACUCACAAUGGAGCAUCCAGUUUUUAUAUUUACAUUAUAUAUACAAAUUCUAUGGAACAAUAUCACCGUAUACUUGAGAGUCAAUUAGCAGCAAACACAUCAUAAACAGAAAUACUACUUCUACUUUUUAUGGCUAAACAGAUCUUAUAUAAGCCCAAUAUCAGCUUCACAAAUGACAUACUAAAAUCUCAUACCCCUUCCAAUAGGACUCAAUUAUUUUUAAUAGCAUUAAUUUUCAAAUUAAAAAUGUCUCUCCCAAUCCAAGUUACCUUUUACAUAUAAAGGGAUCUUAGGAAGAUGGUGUGUACGUAACUUUACCCUUACCUAGUUAAGGUAGAGAAGUUGUUUCCCACUCAAACACCAACAUUAUAAAUAAAAAUUUCAUCCAUCUAUCAUCGAUACAAAUUCCUGGUAUAUAAUUAAUUUUCAUUUGAGAAGGGUACAUACAAAUUGUACCAACAAUGUAGAACAUACACUUUCCAUACCAUUUUAUGAUACAUGUUUGGUUGAAUACAAAAUUUAAGAAAGACAGAAAAAUAUUUGAAAAUUGUGAUGUAAAACAAGUCAUAAACAGACCUUUGCAUCAUUUGGGUUCUUCCCUUCUUUAUUGUCAGAAGCAUACCACAAUGUUUCAAACGGUAUAUAGGCACAACAAAUGAAAGGAUACUCGAACCUCGAAUAUUCAGGGAUGUAGUUCUACUCCAAGGAAUAUUUUCUUUCAGGGUCAGACUUGCAGACCAAUGUAGCUUCUAAUCUUGCGUCCAGUCUAGUAGGACCGUAACUUAUCAAAAAACCCAUGAAUUUAUCAGUAUACCAAAAUGGGUUCAGCUUAAGACAACAAAUUACGAGAUUUUUGCUGCUCUUCAAAGUUAGAUGAUAAUCAGCAAAUAGCUCCCUUAAAUUUGGGGGUAGCUCUCCUGGCAGUUCAUUAAGAUUCUGACAGAAUUAUACGUUCAGAUGCUGAAGGUGUAAGAGUCCUUUGAAGCUUUUUGGUAAACAAGAAAUAUUGCUUCCACUUACAUUCAAAUUUUCCAAAGAGUGCAAAGAUCCUAAAUCCUCAGGAAGUCCACUCAAUAUGUUGUGAUUAUUAAGAUCAUGUGAUGUCAAGGAGGAUAAACCUGAUACUUGAUUCAAGACAAAACUUGAGGAAUGUUGAAAUUGUUGUUCAUGUGAGAAUCGUAACUUCCACAGUUUGCCAAGCUUAGUGAUGGAGGGAGGUGGUUGGGAGAUUGCAGUUUCGCUCGCAUCAAGUAUAUGUAAAUCUUGCAAAUCACCAAUGUUUUCUGGAAGCUUCUCUAGCUUGUUGCACCCGUCGAGGUAAAGACAUCGAAGUUUCAUCAAAUUGCAGAUAUUCGAGGUCUCCUAGAUGCCCAAUGGAUGAAGGCACUUCUCUUAUCCCAGUAGAAUUCAGAGUCAGCUGUGUCAAGUAAUGCAUAUCUCCAUUGAUUUCUGGAAAUGUAUCUAAUUUUGGGGAAUUAGAUAUCUUGAGCUUUUGAAGGGAUUUCAUCUGAAUCGAGCUUGGAAGCUUCUUUAAGUUCUCACAUCCAUCUAUCUCUAACAAACGGAGCUUCUUUUGAACUCCAAGAGAUAUGGGGAGCUUUACCAAUCCAGAACAUCGGUAUAUACCAAGACAUCCCAAUUGCUGUGAUUCAAAGAGGUUGUUUGGCAGUGUUGCAAAUUUAUUGAAACCUGAAAUACUGAGAUCUCUAAGAUUUUGAAUGGCGUCCAGAAUACUCUCAAGAACUUCACACUCAGUCAAUUGCAAAUUUCUAAGGCUGCUGAAAGAUGGAGGUAAGCUUCUUAUCCACGGGUAUUUUACAUAGAGUAUUGAUAAGCGCGGCAUAUCUCCACAGAUUUCUGGAAAUUCUUCUAAGCUUGUGCAUUCAAGGAGAUUGAGAGUCUCAAGAGAUCCCACGCAGACAAAUUUUGGAAUCUUCUUAAGUUUGCGAUAACCUUCCAAACUCAAAUAAGUAAGCAGUCUGCAAUGUCCAAAUGAGGAAUGGACCUCUUCCAAAUUCACACACCGUGUAAAUUUAGUGUCUCUAAGUUUGGCAUAUCACCAAAAUUAGGGGUUUUUCUUAACUCACAGCUGUCCAUGAGAUCCAAAUGCUUCAAGUUGCUCAAUUUCUGUUUCCAAAAAAAAAAAAGAACAGUGAGCUUAACUAGUACUCCUAAUAGAAAUAUUUUGUAGGAAAAAAAAAUAAAGAGAAGAUAAGGUUGUUAUGAUCAUUAAAGGCGGUAGCCAAUCUGGAAAAGAACUUUUGAGAUACAUAAUUGUCUUAAAAUCCAAAUAUAUAUUUCUUUUCUUUUAAUUUCAUAAUGAAAAUAAAACCUCUUUAAACCUAGAAAUAAUUCCUUCUCAUCUUUGUCCAGACAAUCAAAACUAAGCCUAAGCUUUCCUAAAAUAUCCUUGUGAGGGAUUCUCUUCAGCCGAUCAAUUAUGUGUCUCCAGUGCUUUUUGUCUCGUCCGUAAAAUGAAGAACCCAAAACUUUAAGAGCUAAAGGGAGUCCACCAGCAUGGUGCACCACUUGUCUUGAAAGUUCCAUAAAAUCUUCUUUUGGUGAUUUUUCUCUAAAAGCAUGACUACUGAACAAUUCAAGUGCUUCAUCCUCCGAUAAUAGUUGGACUUCAUACACGUUAUCCCCAACGUGACUGAUUAACAGGUGCUUGUCUCUUGCCGUUAAAAUAAUUCUGCUACCCCUACCAAACCACUCUGUCCCUCCAACUAAAAAUUCCCACUGUUCUUGAUGGUUUACAUCAUCAAGGAUGAACAGAACUUUCUUCCAGCGAAGCAUAUUCUUUUAAAUAUUCAUCCCUUCAUGCUCACUAGUUAGAGUCAAUUUUUCACCCAAGAGCUUGCAAAUGACAACUUGUUGUAGCCAUGUUAGUCCAUUUUUCUGAUGAAGUUUUCCAACAUCACCAAGAAAACAAUCAGCUUCACAUCGAUGGCGGUAUCUUUGAUGUAGAAUAUUUGCAAUUUCUGUCUUGCCGAUGCCGCCCAUACCCCAAAUGCCGAUGGAGCAAACAUCAUUUGAUUCCAUAUCUAAUAAUGAGGUUACUUUCUCAACCUGAGAUUUUUUACCCACUAAACUUUCCAGGAAAGGUGAAAUAAUUUGAAGUGACUUGGGAAAUAUGACAUCAACUAACUUCUUGAUGCACUCAGCCUCAUCCCUACAUUACAGUGAAAAUACUCUCAGAGUAAAUAAAUAGAAAAGGAAAGACUUGUCAUAGAUUAAUAUCUAAAGCAAACACAUAAUAAUGUCACAAAGGUUGUUCCCCCGCUCUCCCCCCCCCCCCUGGUGUCAUAAGGUAGCUUAAAUCAACUAUUAUGAAUUAUAACAUUUUAAAAUCUAAUUACAUCAUCAAACAACCAGAUAGCUAAAAGUUUGGUCCUUUUUCCUCUUGAUAAAGAGAAACCCGAAGAAAAGAAGAAGAUCACUUACUUGAAAUUUUGUAAAUGAUACCCCGAUAUUUUCCCAGCCUCCGCAAAUGCACCCGUCCAUCUCUGAACCUUCUCCAUAUCAUCUUUGCAUUUUUCCUCAUGUUGUAAAAAUGAAUCAGCAAAAGGGGGAUGUUGAUGGCACACAUCUGAUUGACUCACAUCAUAGAAGACUGGAAUCACAAUCUGCUCCAAUUCCUUUUUACACUUUAUGAUGUGUGCAAGCUCCUCUAAACACCAUCUUGACGAUGCAUAGCUUUUUGAAAAUAUCACUAUAGCAAAUUUAGACUCUUGUAUGGCUUUCAAAAGUUCAUCAGAAAUUGAUUUUCCCGUUUCUAGUCGCUCAUCAUCUUUAAAAGUGCGGAUCCCUCUUUGUUCCAAAGCAUUAUAGAGAUGACUCACAAAGUUUCUACAUGUAUCUUCACCUCUAAAACUCAAAAAGACAUCGUACUUGCAAAUUUUGGAAGAAGAAGCAUGAGACAUUGUUGAAGGAUAUAAGACUAACAGGUAACUUCUCAGCCCAACUAGCAACAUUAUUUCUCAGCUAUGUGAAUGCAUAAUUUGGUCAAAAAGAGUGAAACAGUUGAGUUGACCAACCUGGUCAAAAAGAAAGAAAAGACAGACAAAUUUCCAGUUUAAUAAUAAAGAACAAGACUUCACCAUUUUCACUAUUCCUAGUCUUUAUGAGGAACUUGUUAUCAUCUUCCUAUUUCAACUUAUAAAAUGUUAACUUUUUCAUUACUGUGAGAAAUUAAAGAGUAUAAAAACAGACAAGAAGACUUACACCAAAAAAGGCAAAGAAAAAACUAAAGUCAUUACAUUUUUACUGAUAUUAUUGUAAAGACUUUACCUUUUUCAUUAUUCCAAACCUCUGUAGGAAACUUGUUAUCAUCUUCCUAAUUCAUGACAUAUAAUUGUACUCUUUUUCAGUAUUGCACUGACAAAUUAAACUAAUGAGCACCAAAUUGGGGCACAAAUUUAAAUCUUAACUUAAUCAUACCUUUCGGAAAAUUGAUAUAAAUUCGUCGCCCUAACUGAGAAAUUGCCCAGAAAUUGAAGAAAAAAAUCGUAAUAAUUUAGAAAAAAACACACAAAAAGCAGAAAAGAAAACUGACCACAUCAAAGAUAUAAGCAGAAAAGAAGAGAACCGCACUCUUAACUAUUGAGGUUUAUAAGAGCUUAUUUGGUCAGAUAUAUCAUUUUUAGGUUUAUCUUUAUCAAGAGGAAAAUGGAAUAAAGAUUCUUGACAAGCUGACGGAGUAUGUCGGAUUUUAGCGUUUUCUUUAAUAGUGUUUAUUAGCAAUAAACAAGCUUUUUUUUUUACUCGUAUUGAAGAUGCGUUUUUUUCUAAAAUGAUCCGUAUUGAGUUAAAUUAAAAAUUAGAAAGCAAGUAUUUGUGUUAAAUCAAGAUAGCCGGGAUGAUAUGAAAAAAACAAAAAUACAUGAUAUUAUUUAAUUUAAUUGAAUGUUUAAACAAGAAAAUUGAAGCACUUCCGUCAGUUAUUAUUCAUGCAAAAAUACAUUAAAAAAAAUCUCAAAAAAAAAUCAAUGUUCAUACAUUAAUUUUUAUUUUUUUUAAAAGGAAAACUAACGAACACAAGUUAUAUGGACAAACACCAACUAAAAAUCGCAUACCCUUUCCCAUAGGCAGUGGCGGAGGCAGGAUUUCCAUCGAGGGGGUUCAAAAAGAUAAGUAAGCACACUAUUAGUAUCCAUAUAAGCGGGGCGGGUCAAAUAUAAAUGGGUCGGAUCAGAUAUAAGCAACUAAAAAAAAUUCAACUCUACCUCAACACAAACAAUAAAAUCGAGUAAUCAUAUGUUUGACGAGAUUUGUAUUUUUUAAAACUAUAAUUAUGGGUCUUGUCUCUGUCAUUGUUGUAUACAAACGUUAUUUAAUUUUUGAAACUAACUAAGGAAUACUUCUAAAUCCGAUCAUACUGUAGCAAUAAAAUUUGCGUCGAUAAAAUAAUUAUCAAGGUUGAAAAAUAUCGCGACAAUUGUAUUUAUUUAUAAAUUUUAAAUGAUUACUCUUAUUUAUUUAAUCUUACUUAUAAUUAUAUUAAUUCUUAAUCAAAUAUAAAUUAAAUGUUUUCUUAAAAUGAGUAUGAAAGAAUGUAUUUUUAAUUUUAAUUAUGACAACAACGUUUAUAAGUUUUACUUAAUUUUAUAAAAAUGGAAAAUUAAAUUUAUUUUUUUAAUAUCUAAUAAAUAGUAUAAAUCUCAAUAGGUUUUCAAACAAAACAAAAAUUUUCAUUUAUUUAGAAAAUUAAAUGAAAAUCGGCUGAAAUAUGGGGGAAAAAAAUGCUGUUACAGGGAGUCGAACCUGCGACCCAGCACUUAUAUUGCGAAUUCUUGAACCCCCUUUACCACUAAACCAAGCCCUUAGCUUAUGUUCAGGGGUUCAUCACUUGGUAUAUACAUAUAAAUAAAAAAAUUGACCCUAUAUAUACCAUGUAAUUUUUCCAACGAAGGGGGUUCGGAUGAACCCCUUGGAUCCAUGUAGAUCCGCCCCUGCCCAUAGGACUCAAUUAUUUUUAAGAAGUAUUAAUUUUCAAAUUAAAAAUGUCUCUCCAAAUACAAAUAGCCUUUUACAUAUAAACAGACCUUUGCCUCACUCAUUGCUUCUUUUCUUUUUUCUAUGACCACUAUCAUCACUCAUUGCUUCCUCUUCAUACACCAGCCGAAUUCCCCAGCAUACUUCUUUCUCCAGCCCGUACAUGUGAGAAAACUCCAACAUGUAAUAAUCAUUUGGAUUCUUCCCUUCUUUAUUGCCAGAAGCAUUCCACAAUGUUUCAAAUGGUAUGUACCAGCAAUAAAUGAAAGGAUCAUUGGAAAAAGACCCACUCACCCCAUACUUCAAGGAAUAUUUUCUUUCAGGGUCAGAUUUGCAGACCAAUGUAGCUUCUAAUCUUAUGUACUUUGUAGUAGGACCGUAGGUUAUCCAAAAACCCAUGAAUUUAUUGGUAUACCAAGAUGGGUUCAGAUCAAUUGACAUCUUUUCUUGAUUUAUAAAUGGACAAUCAUAAUCGAACAACUCUGAAAUUCUGACUCUGGGAAAAGUAAUGAGAAAAUAAUCCCUUUGAUGGAAGUCACACUGCAUGCAAUAGAAUAGAGAUUAUUAUUACUACUACUAGAAAUCAAUUUGACGAGAAUAAUAUUCAACAUUCAUAUAUGAGAUAAAAACCUGGAUGCAUGUCCUGAGAAAAUGAUGUAGGAACACAUUAACUUGUUCACUUGAGACGGCUCCACAGUUGGAUAUUACGAGCCUACACAGCCUAAGACAAUUAAUUACGAGAUCUCUGAUGCUCUUCAAGGCUAAAUGAUAAUCUGCUAAUAGCUCCCUUAAAUUUGGGGGUAGCUCUCCUGGCAGUUCAUUAAGAUUCUGACAGAAGUGUAUGUUCAGACUCCGAAGGUGUAAGAGUCCUUUAAGGCUUUUUGGUAAACAAGAAAUAUUGCUUCCACUUAAACUCAAAUAUUUCAAAGUGUGCAAAGAUCCUAAAUCCUCAAAAAGUCCACUCAAGCCUAAAAUUAUCAGUUUCCCAAGCUUGGUGAUGGAGGGAGGUGGUUGGUAUAUUGCAGUUUCGCUCACAUCAAGCUUACAUAACUCUUGCAAAUCACCCAUGUUUUCUGGAAGCUUUUCUAGCUUUUUGCACCCGUUGAGUAAAAGAUAUUGAAGAUUCAUCAAAUUACAGAGGCUGUCUGGUAGACUUACAAGAUCUUCACAACGUUUCAGACAUAGCUCAGUGAGGCCGCUCAGAUUCCCAAUGGAUGAAGGCACUUCUCUUAUCCCAGUAGACUUCAGACUCAGUCGUGUCAAGCAAUGCAUAUCUCCGUUGAUUUCUGGAAAUGUAUCUAAUUUUGGGUAUUUAGAUAUCGAGAGAUCUAGAAGGGAUUCCAUCUGAAUAGAGCUUGGAAGCUUCUUUAAGUUCUCACAUCUCUCUAUUAUUAACAAACGGAGAUUCUUUUGAACUUCAAGAGAUAUGGGGAGCUUUACCAAUCCAGAACAUCCGUAUAUACAAAGAACUUUCAAUAGCUGUGAUUCGAAGAGGCUGUUUGGCAGUGUUGCAAGUUUAUUGCAACCUGAAAUUCUGAGAUCACUAAGAUUUCGAAUAGUGUCUGGAAUACAUUCAAGAAUUUCACAAUCACCCAAAUGCAACUCUCUAAGGCUGCUGAGAGACGGGGGUAAGCUUCUUAUCCAGGGGGAUCCUAGAGAGAGUUUUGAUAAGCGCCGCAUAUUUCCACAGAUUUCUGGAAAUUCUUCUAACCUUGUGCAUUCCCUGAGAUUGAGAUCCUCAAGAGAAUCCAUGCAGACAAAUUUUGGAAGCUUCUUAAGUUUGCGACAACCAUACAAACUCAAAUAAGUAAGCAUUUUGCAAUGUCCAAUAGAGGGAUGGACCUCUUCCAAAUUCACACACCCCUCUAAAUGUAGCUUCUCCAAGUUUGGUAUACCACCAAAAUUAGGGGUUUUUGUGAACUCACAGCUAUCCCUGAGAUCCAAAUGCUUCAAAUUGCUCAAUUUCUGUAUUCAUUUAAAAAAAAAACGAAAAACUAGUUAACUAAAGUAGUACUCCUAAUAGAAAUAUUUUAUGGGAAAAAAAAUAAAGAGAAGAGAAGGUUGUUAUGAUCAUUGAAGGCAGUAGAAAACGUGGAAAAGAGGGAGUCCCAUGUAAUUCUAUCAACCAAAGCUAGAACAGAUUAAAACAGAUGGAAAGAAAUCACCUAGGAGUCGUUUGGUAGAGUGUAUAAAAACAAUGCUCAAUAGAGUCUAUUAGUAAUACUUGCAUUAGUUAUGUAUAGAUUAUUUCUCAUGCAUUGUUUAGUUUGGUGUAUUAAAAAUUGUAUGCAUUGUAUAAAAAUAUUUAUGUACAAAAAUAUCCUCCACAAUUAUGGUGGAAAAGAUGUAAAAAUGCUUUUGAGGGGUAAUUGGGUCUAUGCUAAUACAUGUAUUAAAUUCAUUUGCAUUACUAAUACCUAGAAAUCCAUGGUAUUAGUAAUACACUCCACUAAUAUAGGGAUUUGAACCUGAGAUCUCAUAGUGCUCAAUCCACUUCUUUGACACCUAGUACACAUCCUUGGGUGCGCUUGCAAGUUCUUUAUUAGGUAGAUAUAAUUGCAGGAAGUAAAUUACUAUACAAUUAUAAAUCCAAAGAUUCAAAAAUAUUUACAUCAUGACUGUGAUGAAGUACUUCAUUUAUAUCGUGAAUGUCAACAAAGUUAGGUUCCGCCUAAAUAUGUUGAAGAUUUAAUUGGGAAAAGAAAGGUGAUGAAAAGAGAGAGGGAGAGAUUAUAUAUUUGAUUUUUGUGAUGAAGUUUGUACUUGUAAGAACAAUAUUUGAACUUUCAAGUGAGUGAUUACCAAAAAAAAAGAUUAAAAAAUUGGUGUUAAUUGUGUAUAACAGUACAUUUAUUUAAAGUAGCAUUUAAAUCGUGGACGGAUUAAUUUACGUGCAUUGACCUAUCAAAACAUUUAUUUCAAGCUCAUGAUUACGUUGAUUAAAAUUAGAAAAAGUAAAUUACAUGAAAGCGAGUUUAUAUACAUGAUGUUCUAUAAUUACAACUAUUUGUUCAGAUUUAUUAUUACAUUAUUCUGUACAAGAACUUUGCAACAAAUCUAGUUGAUGUAUAAUAUUUGAAAAUUUAAAACCAAAAUAGUAGAGUUAAUUGAUUUUAAUCCCUCGAAGGAGAAAACUUUGGUUCAAGCCGAUCCUAAUAGUAAUAUACAAUCAGUUAGCACACCAAUUGGAGUAUGUAGCAUGCGGACCGAAAAAGAUGGUAAUGUUAUGAGUCCUACAAUAGCUAAGGCUAUUCAAGAAAGUCAGGCUGCCAUGUUACUCAAACCCAAUUUAGCGAUCAAGCCACCCAUGGUCACAUUGAGCAUCUCAGCUCAUGAGGUCACUUCCCAAAAUUUGGAUUCACCUGAUGAACAUCAAGGUGAAUUUGGACAGCUCUUAUCAUCCACGGGAAAUGAUAAAGUUUUGGUGAAAGGUAUGUCACCACUCUGUCAAGCUAAUUUUACAAAUGAUUUGUUAAUUUCGAAAGAAAAACAACAAGGGGAGAUGAGUACUCCUAGGUGGGCUGAUUUUGGUUGAUGAAGAGAGCAUGUUUCACUCCUCUUUUGAAUAGAAAAUUAAGUCCACAAGCUCAAGAAUUUGUACCUAAAAGUACAAUUGCAAAGAAGAAUGAACAAGAGGCCUUAGCAUCAUGAUUUAGUCCAAUUAAUGCUUAUGCUAGUGAUUUGGGUGAUGAUUCUUUUGAUGAGGAUGAGGAAGAUAAUAUGUUGGACAUAUGCUUUGAUAAAGUGGCUAGAGAUGGGGAUAUCUCACCUAGGCAUCAAAGAAGUGGAAGCAACAAAAACAAAAAGAAGACACAUGGAAGACAACACAGAUGGGAUGGUAAUUUGACAGCGGAGUUUGUUCCAAGGCCCCUGCCGAUGCGACUGGCAAAGCAAAAUCAUAUGAUAGUGUCAAUAGCUUCAACAAGAUCCCAUACAUUCAAAAAGAAAUGAUGAAGUAUCAAAUUUUGUUGGACAUAUUUGAAGAAGACAAGAGGAAAAUACUUUAGGUUACUUUAGAUGGGCUAUCUAUCAUUGUUAAUUCACACAUUUGUAAAAAUAAGUUUGAGGUUGAUAACUCAACUUUCUUCUUGAAUUUUAUAUUUGUGCAUUAUUUAAGCAUUCUCAUUUGUAAUAUCAUCAUAGAGUGUAUUACGAAUUCUGUUAUGAUUAUAGAAUAUCUAGUUCUCUCUAGCUUUUAUUUUCUUCAUGCUUGUUAAUUAGUAGAGGUUCGUUACCUCAUAGGAUUUGACAAGGUAAGGCCUAGCCCCCCUUGCUUGUACUUAUUUUUUGUUGAGGAUUUUUGUUUUUAAUAAAAAAACUGCUAGACGCUCUGUCUAGUGGUAUUAAAAAUAAAUCAAUUUUGAACUAUAAAAAAUAAAGGGAAAAUGCAUAAGUACCCGCCAGCCUAUACCCGAAAUCCCAAAGACACACCUAACCUUUACUAAGGUCCUAUUACCCCCCCCCCCCCNNNNNNNNNNNNNNNNNNNNNNNNNNNNNNNNNNNNNNNNNNNNNNNNNNNNNNNNNNNNNNNNNNNNNNNNNNNNNNNNNNNNNNNNNNNNNNNNNNNNNNNNNNNNNNNNNNNNNNNNNNNNNNNNNNNNNNNNNNNNNNNNNNNNNNNNNNNNNNNNNNNNNNNNNNNNNNNNNNNNNNNNNNNNNNNNNNNNNNNNNNNNNNNNNNNNNNNNNNNNNNNNNNNNNNNNNNNNNNNNNNNUUCGGGCAUAGGCUGGGGGGGUACUUAUGCAUUUUCCCAAAAAUAAAUAAAAAAUACUUCAUUUAAGUUAUCUAUAGCCCAUUCCUAUAGAAAACAAAUACAGUUAUCCUACGUGGCACUAUCCUUGAAAAAAUUGUCAACACGCGCUGGGCCCACAAGAUAGUGCCACGUAGGCCGAAAAGGGGUAGAAAAUUAUAUAUAAAAUAAGUUCAGGGGGGUAAUAGGACCUUAGUAAAGGUUAGGUGUGUCUCAGAGAUUUGGGGCAUAGGCUGGGGGGGUACUGAUGCAUUUUCCCUAUAUUUAAAGCAAUUUCACCUUUGAAGGUUCAUAUAACAAAAAUAUAAAUAUUUAGUUAAGAUGAAUUACAGAAACAAGUAUAUAGCCAGCUGUCUAAUAAUUGUAAGAGAGUGUUACCUUUGAUAUUGGCCAAAGUUCAACAAGCCUACUUUCAGGUAAACAAAGCACAACGAGCUGUGAUGGUUCAAAGCUCUCUGGCAAUGAAAUUGAAGGAUACCCUAUCCAAUCAAUAAACCGCAGGCUGGAAGGAAGAUAAGUGACAGCGCAGUUUGAGUUAAAAGAUCCACCACCAACUAUGGGUAUUUUUAAGCUUUGCAUCCUCUUGAAAAUAUUGCUAUAAUCGACAAGAUCAUCUUCAAAAUAGUAAUCUUUAGGGAUACAUAGGCUUUCCACCUUUUCUGUUAUCUGUAUAGAAUGAAGCACAUAUUUAAUAGCUAACAAAUAAAAAUGAAACAAAAAGAUUAAUAGAACUACGAGCUUCCAAAAUUAUUAAUUACGUUAAAUAUUGCUUACCAACUUCCCUUUAAAAAGGUCACAAACUUCCUCGGGAAGCCAUAUUCUACUGUUAGCGUACUCUUCCCGUAUGACAUUUUCUCCCAUUUUUCUUAUCAUAUUAUGCAUCACAAUACUAUUAUUCAGGUCGAUUGAUAAUAGAGAUUUUUCGAUAAGGUAAUCUAUUAGAAAACCACGACUCAUAUAUCUCCGUACUAGUUCCACACAAAGAUGAAAAUCAUAUCUAGUCAAACAUGCAAUAUCUAGAAAUGCAAUAUCUAGAAAUAAUUCCUUCUCAUCUUUGUCCAGACCAUCAAAACUAAGCCUAAGCUUUCCUAGAAUAUCCUUGUCAGGAUUCUCUUCAGCCGAUCAAUUAUGUGUCUCCAGUGCUUUUUAUCUCGUCCAUAAAAUAAAUAACCCAAAACUUUAAGAGCUAAAGGGAGUCCACCAGCAUGCUUCACCACUUGUCAUGAAAGUUCUAUAAAAUCUUCUUUUGGUGUCACUUGCCUUGAAAGUUCCAAAAAUCCUUCUUUUGGUGAUUUUUCUCUAAAAGCAAGCCUACUGAACAAUUCAAGUGCUUCAUUCUCAGAUAAUAGUUGGACUUCAUACACAUUAUCCCCGACGUGACUGAUUAACAGGUGCUUGUCUCUUGCUGUUAAAAUAAUUCUGCUACCCCUACCAAACCACUCUGGCUCUCCAACCAAAAAUUCCAACUGUUCUUGAUGGUUUACGUCAUCGAUGGUGAACAGAACUUUCUUCCAGCGAAGCAUAUUCUUUAAAAUAUUCAUCCCUUCAUGCUCGCUAGUUAGAGUCAAUUUUUCACCCCAGAGCUUGCAAAUGACGACUUGUUGUAGCCAUGUUAGUCCAUUUUUUCUGGUGAAGUUUUCCAACAUCACCAAGAAAACAAUCAGCUUCAAAUCGAUGGCUGUAUCUUUGAUGUAGAACAUUUGCAAUUUCUGUUUUGCCGAUGCCGCCCAUACCCCAAAUACCAAUAGAGCGAACAUCAUUUGAUUCCAUAUCUAAUAAUGAGGUUACUUUCUCAACCUGAGAUUUCAAACCCACUAAGCUUUCCGGGAAAGGUGAAAUAAUUUGAAGUGACUUAGGAAAUAUGUCAUCAACUAGUUUCUUGAUG
rnacentral:lncRNA from 1 species